UUUUACCAAUUAUUAAUACAAAUGAUUAUCUACCCCUUGCAAGGGAUCUAGUCCAGGGGAUCUAGUCCAGAAAUCUAGUCCAGGAGUUCUGAAGACUAGGUAAAUUAAUCAAGUCCAGGAGACUAGGCUUGGGAGAAAUUCGGCAUGAUGUAAUGAGUAAUAAAGAAACAAGCUGAA